rnacentral:rRNA from 1 species
AUUGAACGCUGGCGGCAUGCGUAACACAUGCAAGUCGAACGGUGUUUGGUGCUUGCACCAGACAUAGUGGCGGACGGGUGAGUAAUGCGUAGGAAUCUGUCUUAGAGAGGGGGACAACCCGAGGAAACUUGGGCUAAAACCGCAUAUUCUCGAGAGAGGAAAGCAGGGGACCGGAAACGGCCUUGUGCUCUAAGGUGAGCCUACGUCGGAUUAGCUAGUUGGUAGGGUAAAAGCCUACCAAGGCGAUGAUCUGUAGCUGGUCUGAGAGGACGGACAGCCACACUGGGACUGAGACACGGCCCAGACUCCUACGGGAGGCAGCAGUGGGGAAUAUUGGACAAUGGGGGGAACCCUGAUCCAGCGAUGCCGCGUGUGUGAAGAAGGCCUGCGGGUUGUAAAGCACUUUCAGUGGGAAAGAGAAGCGUCUUGUGAAUAAUGGGACGUGGAGACGUUACUCACAGAAGAAGCACCGGCUAACUCUGUGCCAGCAG